ACACAACACCAGCACAGAAAAAAUUCAUAUUACAAGAACACAUUGGUAUUGAAGGAACUAGAUACUGUUCCGAAAUAUCACUUACUCGAACCGUCCUGACCGCGUAGCUCAGUUGGAAGAGCAUUGGGCUAGUAUUCCAAAGGUCGUAGGUUCGAAUCCCACCGUGGCCGGGCAUAUUUUCAAGCUCGCCCGGUGUGGAUAUGCACUCAGAGUAACAUCACAAACAUAUUAUUCACCUGGGUACACAAGACCAGCACAAAAAAAAAAUUCAUAUUACAAGAACACAUUGGUAUUGAAGGAACUAGAUACUGUUCCGAAAUAUCACUUACUCGAACCGUCCUGACCGCGUAGCUCAGUUGGAAGAGCAUUGGGCUAGUAUUCCAAAGGUCGUAGGUUCGAAUCCCACCGUGGCCGGGCAUAUUUUUCAAGCUCGCCCGGUGUGGAUAUGCACUCAGAGUAACAUCACAAACAUAUUAUUCACCUGAGUACACAACACCAGCACAGAGAAAAUUCAUAUUACAAGAACACAUUGGUAUUGAAGGAACUAGAUACUGUUCCGAAAUAUCACUUACUCGAACCGUCCUGACCGCGUAGCUCAGUUGGAAGAGCAUUGGGCUAGUAUUCCAAAUGUCGUAGGUUCGAAUCCCACCGUGGCCGGGCAUAUU